GUUAUCCGCACACACACACACACGCACACACUUUUUUGUUGUUGUUUUUUUGCAAUAUGAGAAAUGCCUUUUUUUCCCAUUUUUUUUCUUUUUUCUUUCAUUUUUUUCUUUCUUUUUUUUCCUCCUUGCUCUUCUUCAUUUCUUUUUUCUUAAUUAUUUCAACUUAUUUUCAUUUUAUUCCUUGUUUUCCUUUUCUGUUUUCAUUUCUUCUUCAUUUUUUUGCGAUUUAUUUUAUUUACAUUUUUAUUUUCUUCCUUCCUUUUCAUCUUCUAUGCACUCUUUUUUUCUUUUUUCUUCCUUGCGUGAUCUAGUGCCUUGUCUCGGAGUCUAUUGUUGUCGACGCUUCUAGAGUUUAUUAUCACGUUAAGCGUCGGUCACCUUCGCCACGCUCCACCACCGAUUGGAGAGUCAGGACAUCCACUGUGUUAAUGGAGAUACCUUAUAAUUGCCUUGAAUAUAAACUUAAUACUAGUCUUAAGGUAACUGAGUUUGCAUUUAUAAGUUGUAAUAAACCCAAGAUCGUGUGCCAACCCUUAAACUUAACGGCACUCACAAAAAUACGUCAGCUCUUCCGCAUCGAAACGCAAGAUACAACACAGCGACCAACUGAGACCUUACGAUAGGAGUGUCGGUUUACAUAUUGGUGGGCCUCUCGGAAGCACAACACUCACACAGACAUUACAAGUGCAUCGUCUAAGUCAGUCUUCCCUGUUUAUGACACCUUCGAACCUUGUAUUUAGGGGCAAAGCUCAUGCACUGUACAAUCUUUCAAUAUGACAAUCAAGACCUUUAUGCACCGUUUUGGGAAGUGUCUGGCUGUGCGUAGGGUGUUGAGUGUGUGUCCGGUGCCUUGAUAACAUGACUAAUUUAAGUUAACUCUCUAUUUGUACUUAUACGAGAAGGUAAUGUAAUGUUUGACUUAGUGUAACAACCAGGAAAGUCUGUGAAUCACUUAUUGGGCUGUGAGUUGCCAGGCUGAUAGGAGAGAGUAAUGUAAUGUUUGACUCAGUGUAACAACCAGAAAUCUAAGAAAUGCCUCACAAAUUCUGGUUCUGAGGUCAAAUUUGUGAGAUGCCAGACUGAUAGGAGAGAGUAAUGUAAUGUUUGAUUCAGUGUAAUGACCUUAAAGUCAAAGAAAUGCCUCACAAAUUCUGGUUCUGAGGUCAAAUUUGUAAGAUGCCAGACUGAUAGGAGAGAGUAAUGUAAUGUUUGACUCAGUGUAACAACCAGAAUGUCUUAAGAAAUGCCCCACAAAUUCUGGUACUGAGGUCAAAUUUGUGAGUUGCCAGAGUGAUAGAAAGUAAGGUAAUGUUUGACUUAAGUGUGACAACCAGAGAAGUCUAAGAAAUGCAUCAUAUAUUCUGGUACUGAGGUCAAAUUUGUGAGUUGCCAGACUGAUAGGACAGAGAAAUGUAAUGUUUGACUCAGUGUAACAAUCAGAAAAGUCCUAAGAAACACAUCAUAUAUUCUGAUUCUGAGGUCAAAUUUGUGAGUUGCCAGAGUGAUAGAAAGUAAGGUAAUGUUCGACUUAAGUGUGACAACCAGAAGAGUCUAAGGAUCAGGGAGCAGGUAGAGUUGUUCAUGCAGUUGGUGAUGUGUUCAGUGUUCAGUGUUGCCAAGUGAAUCAGCUCUUCCCUCGCUACCACUCUCUGGUCUUAGUCUUCCCCUGAGAAAUAUCUUCCACUCAGAAUGAACAGAAUGAACAGCUUGUAUUUGUGUGUCGGUAUCCUAAAGUUGAGGUUUUCUUAAUACAAAAAUAAUCGUAUUCUUAAGCUAAAUAAAUCUACACGAGAAGGUUUUAUUGACGGUUAAUAAAAGUGUGCCAAAUGCAUUUAUAACUUAGUGAUGGGUGAGUGAGUCCAGCACUGUGAAGUUGUCCUUGUCAGGUGCCUGUGAGGGCCUCGGUUCUGAGCACAAACUGACGGAGGGGGAAGUGAAGCGAGGCGGUGCAAAGGUGUGUUCAAAAUCUAACAAAUGAAAGUUUAACAAUC